ACGAACGCUGGCGGCGUGCCUAAUACAUGCAAGUCGAACGCUUCUUUUUCCACCGGAGCUUGCUCCACCGGAAAAAGAGGAGUGGCGAACGGGUGAGUAACACGUGGGUAACCUGCCCAUCAGAAGGGGAUAACACUUGGAAACAGGUGCUAAUACCGUAUAACAAUCGAAACCGCAUGGUUUUGAUUUGAAAGGCGCUUUCGGGUGUCGCUGAUGGAUGGACCCGCGGUGCAUUAGCUAGUUGGUGAGGUAACGGCUCACCAAGGCGACGAUGCAUAGCCGACCUGAGAGGGUGAUCGGCCACAUUGGGACUGAGACACGGCCCAAACUCCUACGGGAGGCAGCAGUAGGGAAUCUUCGGCAAUGGACGAAAGUCUGACCGAGCAACGCCGCGUGAGUGAAGAAGGUUUUCGGAUCGUAAAACUCUGUUGUUAGAGAAGAACAAGGAUGAGAGUAACUGUUCAUCCCUUGACGGUAUCUAACCAGAAAGCCACGGCUAACUACGUGCCAGCAGCCGCGGUAAUACGUAGGUGGCAAGCGUUGUCCGGAUUUAUUGGGCGUAAAGCGAGCGCAGGCGGUUUCUUAAGUCUGAUGUGAAAGCCCCCGGCUCAACCGGGGAGGGUCAUUGGAAACUGGGAGACUUGAGUGCAGAAGAGGAGAGUGGAAUUCCAUGUGUAGCGGUGAAAUGCGUAGAUAUAUGGAGGAACACCAGUGGCGAAGGCGGCUCUCUGGUCUGUAACUGACGCUGAGGCUCGAAAGCGUGGGGAGCAAACAGGAUUAGAUACCCUGGUAGUCCACGCCGUAAACGAUGAGUGCUAAGUGUUGGAGGGUUUCCGCCCUUCAGUGCUGCAGCUAACGCAUUAAGCACUCCGCCUGGGGAGUACGACCGCAAGGUUGAAACUCAAAGGAAUUGACGGGGGCCCGCACAAGCGGUGUAGCAUGUGGUUUAAUUCGAAGCAACGCGAAGAACCUUACCAGGUCUUGACAUCCUUUGACCACUCUAGAGAUAGAGCUUCCCCUUCGGGGGCAAAGUGACAGGUGGUGCAUGGUUGUCGUCAGCUCGUGUCGUGAGAUGUUGGGUUAAGUCCCGCAACGAGCGCAACCCUUAUUGUUAGUUGCCAUCAUUUAGUUGGGCACUCUAGCAAGACUGCCGGUGACAAACCGGAGGAAGGUGGGGAUGACGUCAAAUCAUCAUGCCCCUUAUGACCUGGGCUACACACGUGCUACAAUGGGAAGUACAACGAGUCGCAAAGUCGCGAGGCUAAGCUAAUCUCUUAAAGCUUCUCUCAGUUCGGAUUGUAGGCUGCAACUCGCCUACAUGAAGCCGGAAUCGCUAGUAAUCGCGGAUCAGCACGCCGCGGUGAAUACGUUCCCGGGCCUUGUACACACCGCCCGUCACACCACGAGAGUUUGUAACACCCGAAGUCGGUGAGGUAACCUUUUGGAGCCAGCCGCCUAAGGUGGGAUAGAUGAUUGGGGUG
rnacentral:rRNA from 1 species